rnacentral:rRNA from 1 species
UACGGAGGGGGUUAGCGUUGUUCGGAAUUACUGGGCGUAAAGCGCACGUAGGCGGAUUAGAAAGUUGGGGGUGAAAUCCCAGGGCUCAACCCUGGAACUGCCUCCAAAACUCCUAGUCUAGAGUUCGAGAGAGGUGAGUGGAAUUCCGAGUGUAGAGGUGAAAUUCGUAGAUAUUCGGAGGAACACCAGUGGCGAAGGCGGCUCACUGGCUCGAUACUGACGCUGAGGUGCGAAAGUGUGGGGAGCAAACAGG